rnacentral:rRNA from 1 species
AGUGAACGCUGGCGGUAGACCUAACACAUGCAAGUCGAACGGCAGCACAGUAAGAGCUUGCUCUUACGGGUGGCGAGUGGCGGACGGGUGAGGAAUACAUCGGAAUCUACUUUUUCGUGGGGGAUAACGUAGGGAAACUUACGCUAAUACCGCAUACGACCUACGGGUGAAAGCAGGGGAUCUUCGGACCUUGCGCGAUUGAAUGAGCCGAUGUCGGAUUAGCUAGUUGGCGGGGUAAAGGCCCACCAAGGCGACGAUCCGUAGCUGGUCUGAGAGGAUGAUCAGCAACACGGGAAUGGAGAAACGGCCCAGACUCCUACGGAGGCAGCAGUGGGGAAUAUUGGACAAUGGGCGCAAGCCUGAUCCAGCCAUACCGCGUGGGUGAAGAAGGCCUUCGGGUUGUAAAGCCCUUUUGUUGGGAAAGAAAAGCAGCAGGUUAAUACCCCGCUGUUCUGACGGUACCCAAAGAAUAAGCACCGGCUAACUUCGUG